rnacentral:rRNA from 1 species
UACGGAGGGGGCUAGCGUUGUUCGGAAUUACUGGGCGUAAAGCGCACGUAGGCGGCUUUGUAAGUUAGAGGUGAAAGCCCAGGGCUUAACCCUGGAAUUGCCUUUAAGACUGCAUCGCUAGAAUUGUGGAGAGGUAAGUGGAAUUCCGAGUGUAGAGGUGAAAUUCGUAGAUAUUCGGAAGAACACCAGUGGCGAAGGCGACUCACUGGCCCGUUACUGACGCGUGAGGCGGCGAAAGCGUGGGGAGCAAACACGG